UAAUACGUAGGUGGCGAGCGUUGUCCGGAAUUACUGGGCGUAAAGGGCGCGCAGGCGGGUUUUUAAGUCAGAUGUGUAAUCUACAGGCUCAACCUGUAGUUUGCAUCUGAUACUGGAAAUCUUGAGGGUAGGAGAGGACAGUGGAAUUCCUAGUGUAGCGGUGAAAUGCGUAGAUAUUAGGAGGAACACCAGUGGCGAAGGCGGCUGUCUGGCCUACAACUGACGCUGAGGCGCGAAAGCGUGGGUAGCGAACAGGAUUAGAUACCCUGGUAGUCCACGCCGUAAACGAUGGGUACUAGGUGUAGGAGGUAUCGACCCCUUCUGUGCCGGAGUUAACACAAUAAGUACCCCGCCUGGGGACUACGGCCGCAAGGCUAAAACUCAAAGGAAUUGACGGGGGCCCGCACAAGCGGUGGAGCAUGUGGUUUAAUUCGACGCAACGCGAAGAACCUUACCAGGGCUUGACAUCCUCUGAUGUCCAUAGAGAUAUGGAGUUCGAUCUUCGGAUUGACAGAGAGACAGGUGGUGCAUGGUUGUCGUCAGCUCGUGUCGUGAGAUGUUGGGUUAAGUCCCGCAACGAGCGCAACCCUUAUUCUUAGUUGCCAGCAUUAAGUUGGGCACUCUAAGGAGACUGCCGGUGACAAACCGGAGGAAGGUGGGGAUGACGUCAAAUCAUCAUGCCCUUUAUGUCCUGGGCUACACACGUGCUACAAUGGCCUGUACAGAGGGUAGCGAAGCUGUGAAGUGGAGCCAAUCCCAAAAAGCAGGUCUCAGUUCGGAUUGUAGGCUGCAACUCGCCUACAUGAAGUCGGAAUCGCUAGUAAUCGCGAAUCAGCAUGUCGCGGUGAAUACGUUCCCGGGCCUUGUACACACCGCCCGUCACACCACGAAAGUUGACAACACCCGAAGCCGGUGUACUAAUCGUAAGGAAGAAGCCGUCGAAGGUGGGGCCGAUGAUUGGGGUG
rnacentral:rRNA from 1 species